GGCUGAUACAUAAAGAGCCUCCACAAGCUUACGCAUGAAAAGCCACUAUGAAUAGGAUAGCCUCCACGGACUUACGCGUGGAAUACCAUUAUGAGUAGGAUAGCCUCUGCGGACUUAUGCGUGGAAAGCCACCACGAGUGAGAUAGCCAUCAUAGGCUAUAACAUGGUACGGUAUCAAUCUUAAUAUUAAUCUUAGACUAAGUCUUGGUAUCAGUCUUGGACUAAGUUAUGAUCUUGUUUAGUUCAAAAUCAAAAAAAAAAUUGAUAAAAUAUUUAGAAAUCAAACUAAUAAGAAAUGGAUUACAUGACUUAAAAAAUUAUUGUUAAACAAAUAAUUAUAUAUAUAUAUAUAUAUAUAUGAAAAGAUGAUAAUAAGAACUUAUAUGCAAGUAACAUAUGAGUUUUCCGACAAUUGAUACAAUAUCCAGUUAUCUGAUAUUAUUAAUUGAUUAUUUUUUUAUUACUUAUGAUGUAGUGAUUUGUAAUUCUUACUAGACUGUAAAGCUUGCAAGCUGUAUAGUAUAUGUCUAUGAUUGAGAUCACAAAUAGAGGAAAUGAUUAAAUAGCAUCACUGAUACUAGUUGGAUGAUUAAAAUUUUUAAUUGGACCAACUUUGUUAUUUGAUAUGAAAUAAGAUCAUUGUUGAUUGCGGAUAUAAAGGCAUGCCGGACAACGGCAUUGACAAAAUUGCAGAAAGGAAAUCUGCAAAGAACUAAAACCAACC
rnacentral:lncRNA from 1 species